UGUAGAUGGUACUGCAUUUGCAAAACUUGCUUUCCAGCCCCUUUGCCAGAGGGGCUGAAAGGCUCCCUAAAGUCUUGAUCAAAGCAGGGAGGUUUUUGACAUGCCCAGCGAACAAGUUAUUUGUCCCCUACCUCUAGUUGUUUCUGAAAUGUUUGCAAUCUCUAAUGGUGGAGGAGAAAGAGUAGAGACACUCCAGGAGAUCAACGCAGGAAAGUAAUCACCAACUGUGAGUGAUCUGUUGCCGAGGGGACACUACACCGGAGUUACAUAAGCAGAGGUGGAAGUGUUAGGCUAAAUCGCCUUGGUUUGACCUUCGCAAAUCGGUCGACGAUGCCAAUUAAUAUUUUUUCCCCAACUCCAGAAAACCUGUUUUGAAGCUCCUCCAGCAUUCUGUCGAGAACUGGAAAGAAGAGCCUUGUGUAUGUUUGAAUUUUCAUGUUCUCGAAAAGAAUCCAAUGCACGCUUCCAGUUUGUGUAUCCUGAGGUGGUGAGGGUGUCCCUUUGAUCCCUUGAUUGCUUUGGUUUGCCAUAUAGUCUACAACUAAAGCAGAUUGCUGCAUUGGCAGUGGUAGAAUAUUCAACCCAUUUAAAAGUAUCAAACCAACUUGGUUGAAAUGAUCUCUUUUGCUGGCCAAACAUGCCGGAUGGAAAACAGUGAUGUCUCACUUGCCUUGGCCCUGUAUCUGCAGUCCCUAAAUCAGUUACCCAGUUACCCAUUGACUCUUGUCUGUUCUGAUGUUCCUGUUCAUUGUUGUUCUUAUCUGUUGUAUCUCCUUCUUGUGUGUCCCUUUCUCCUGUUCUCCUUUCUUCAUCCUCUACUAUUUUUGGCUCAUCUGUGAUGACUGUGUAGGUAAACACAAACAAGUAUUUAAAAUCAGUUUCCAGCUCUGUCAAAUAAAUGAAUUUCAAGAUA